GGCAGCUAAGGCCCGGCGAGAAAUCGAGCGCAGCGCCGGUGGGCCGGCACUGCUGGGGGACCCAGCACACCCCUCCGCAGCCGCUGGCCCGGGUGCUAAGCUCCUCAUUGCCCGGGGCGGCAGGGCCAGCCGGCCGCUCAGAGUGCGGGGCCCGCCAAGCCCACGCCCACCCGGAACUCCAGCUGGCCCGCAAGCGCCGCACGCAACCCCGGUUCCCGCUGGCGCCUCUCCCUCCACACCUCCCUGCAAGCUGAGGGAGCCGGCUCUGGCCUUGGCCAGCCCAGAAAGGGGCGCCCACAGUGCAGCGGCAGGCUGAAGGGUUCCUCAAGUGCUGCCAAAGUGGGAGCCCAGGCAGAGGAGGCGCGGAGAGCGAGCGAGGGCUGUAAGGGCUGCCAGCAUGCUGUCACCUCUCAUCCCCAGCUAUGUGGAACUGCUCAGGAAACUCAAGAUAUUUGGGGACUACAAGAAGAGAGAAAUUCACUCAAUUUG
rnacentral:lncRNA from 1 species